UACGUAGGGCGCAAGCGUUAUCCGGAAUUAUUGGGCGUAAAGAGCUCGUAGGCGGUUUGUCGCGUCGGCUGUGAAAACUCGGGGCUUAACCCCGAGCCUGCUUCUGAUACGGGCAGACUAGAGGUAUGCAGGGGAGAACGGAAUUCCUGGUGUAGCGGUGAAAUGCGCAGAUAUCAGGAGGAACACCGGUGGCGAAGGCGGUUCUCUGGGCAUUACCUGACGCUGAGGAGCGAAAGUGUGGGGAGCGAACAGG
rnacentral:rRNA from 1 species